rnacentral:rRNA from 1 species
ACGGGAGGCAGCAGUGAGGAAUCUUGGACAAUGGGCGAAAGCCUGAUCCAGCCAUGCCGCGUGAAUGAUGAAGGCCUUAGGGUUGUAAAAUUCUUUCAGCAGGGAAGAUAAUGACGGUACCUGCAGAAGAAGCCCCGGCUAACUCCGUGCCAGCAGCCGCGGUAAUACGGAGGGGGCUAGCGUUGUUCGGAAUUACUGGGCGUAAAGCGCUCGUAGGCGGAUUGGUCAGUCAGAGGUGAAAGCCCAGGGCUCAACCUUGGAAUUGCCUUUGAUACUGCCAGUCUUGAGUUCGGGAGAGGUGAGCGGAAUUCCGAGUGUAGAGGUGUAAUUCGUAGAUAUUCGGAGGAACACCAGAGGCGAAGGCGGCUCACUGGACCGAUACUGACGCUGAGGAGCGAAAGCGUGGGGAGCAAACAGGAUUAGAUACCCUGGUAGUCCACGCCGUAAACGAUGAGAGCUAGUUGUCUGGCAGCAUGCUGUUAGGUGACGCAGCUAACGCAUUAAGCUCUCCGCCUGGGGAGUACGGCCGCAAGGUUAAAACUCAAAGAAAUUGACGGGG